GAUGAACGCUGGCGGCGUGCCUAAUACAUGCAAGUCGAGCGAACGGACGAGAAGCUUGCUUCUCUGAUGUUAGCGGCGGACGGGUGAGUAACACGUGGAUAACCUACCUAUAAGACUUGGAUAACUUCGGGAAACCGGAGCUAAUACCGGAUAAUAUUUUGAACCGCAUGGUUCAAAAGUGAAAGACGGUCUUGCUGUCACUUAUGGAUGGAUCCGCGCUGCAUUAGCUAGUUGGUAAGGUAACGGCUUACCAAGGCAACGAUGCAUAGCCGACCUGAGAGGGUGAUCGGCCACACUGGAACUGAGACACGGUCCAGACUCCUACGGGAGGCAGCAGUAGGGAAUCUUCCGCAAUGGGCGAAAGCCUGACGGAGCAACGCCGCGUGAGUGAUGAAGGUCUUCGGAUCGUAAAACUCUGUUAUUAGGGAAGAACAUAUGUGUAAGUAACUGUGCACAUCUUGACGGUACCUAAUCAGAAAGCCACGGCUAACUACGUG
rnacentral:rRNA from 1 species